UCUGUCCUUAGAAGCAUUACAGGCGAGACUACUGUGUUAUGUGUGUCAGUAGGUGGCAGAGAGGAAAGAGGCUAUGUCUGCAUUUAGUGUUCUGACCUAAGAACAUCUGAAUGAUUAGUGGCCUAACAUA